CAUGUCUCCUGACACCCAGUUGCCUCUACCACUCAGAUGAUGUCAGGCCCAGUCCCUCAGUGCCCUGCGCAAGGAACAGGACUCAUCUUCUGAGAAGGAUGGACGCAGCCCCAACAAAUGGGACAAGGACCACAUCCAGUGGCCCAUGAGUGGCGGUCAUGAUCUUCAGCAAGCGGCACCAGGCCCUGGCAGGGCACACCAGGGUCACCCCAACCAGGAUAACCGGACUGUCAGCCAGAUGCUGAACGAGUGGUGGUACACCCUGGGGCCCAAUGAGACACAGAAAUACCACGACCUGGCCUUCCAGGUGAAGGUGGCCCACUUGCAACAAGGACCGAAAGAAGUCCAGCUCAGAGGCCAAGCUCACAAGCCAGGGGCUAGCAGGAGUGUAACAAGGGCUCGUGGGAGUGGAGCAUAUCAGAGACGGGCACUGCCACUGCCCCUGGGGUGUCCUCUGAAUUCCUGUCAGUUGCAGCCCAAACACUCCAGAGCUCGGAUACCAAGGAGCAGCUUCUGUGGGGCAGAACGGCUGCACACAGUCAGGGAACCUAGCUCAGCCUGGCCCAAGCCUUCUCCCACAGGGGGGUACACAGCCUGGAUGGCAGGGAAAUAGAUCAUCAGGCACUACAGGAACUGACACAGGUGGUGUCUGGCAAUGCAUCAUACUCUGGCCCAAAGCCUUCUACUCAGUAUGGAGCUCCAGGCCACUUUGCAGCCCCUGGUGAGGGAGGUGACCAGUGGGCAGCCCUGCUGCUGCCCACCUGAGCUGCUCAUUCCCAGCACAUGGCCAGUGAGGACAUAGCGAGUGAUGAGGCGCACACGAUCAUCCAUGAGGAGGAGGGGGUGAUGAUGUCAUUGCUGAUGAUGGCUUUAGCACCACUGACACCGAUCUCAAGUUCAAGGAGUGAGUGACCGACAGAGUGGGGACAACUCUGGGGAGGAGCCACAGGGCAACAAGGGCUUUGGUGGGAAGGUAUUUGCACCUGUCAUUCCUUCCUCCUUUACUCCUGCUGCCCCUUGCUGGAUCCUGAGCCCCCAGGGUCCCCCGAUCCACCUGCAGCUUUUGGCAAAGUCUAUGGUCCCACCCUGUCCUCCUCCUACACAUACUCGGAUGCUUCCUCCUCAACCUUGGCACCCACCUCCUUCUUACUGGGCCCGGGAGCCUUCGAAGCCCAGGAGUCUGGUCAAGGCAGCAGAGUGGGCCCCCUACGGCCCCUACCCCUGGGGAUGGGGGCCCAGGGAUGCCUUCCAAGGCGACCUGUUUCCUCCCAAUGGAUCCCGCCACCUUCUGGUGCAAGAGACCUGAAAGUGUGGGCGACCUGGAGCUACCAGGCUCCUCAGUCAUCAGGGUCCCUCCGCAGAUCCUGAAGAGAAACUGACUGGUCUUUCGGGGUCGGGGCAGAGGGAACCCCACGGACAUGGAUCCCACACUGGAAGACCCCACCACGCCCAAACGCAAGAUGAGAAGAUGCUCCAGCUGCAGCCCAAAGCCCAACACCCCCAAGUGUGCCAUGUGUGAUGGGGACAGCUUCCCCUUUGCCUGUACAGGUGGAGAAGCCGAGGACAGGCUCAGGGAACCGGAGACCGAGAAGGCACUGUCCUCUUCACUGCACGCGCCCUGGACCAGUGCCGGCCCUGAUCAUGCAGCUCUUCCAGGCCCACUGCUUCUUCCUGUCCACUAGGCCACAGCCACCCUCCAGGCCCACUAUGCACACAUCUUCCACUCCAAGGUUUGUUCUGCCCCUGCCCUGACUCCCAGCCCUGUGGGGGUCCUGACCGGACCUCACCUGGCUCAGGCAACCCUGGCUGCCCUGCCACUGCCUCUGCCCCAGAGUUGGGGCCUUGACAGCCUGGUUGGAAGGGGACACCCCAGCCCUGCCUCAACACCUGGGGGUCUCCAUAACUACCACAGG
rnacentral:lncRNA from 1 species